AUUGAACGCUGGCGGCAGGCUUAACACAUGCAAGUCGAGCAGGGUGAUGGUGCUUGCACUAUCACUUAGCGGCGGACGGGUGAGUAAUGCUUAGGAAUCUGCCUAUUAGUGGGGGACAACAUCUCGAAAGGGAUGCUAAUACCGCAUACGUCCUACGGGAGAAAGCAGGGGACUACUUGUGACCUCGCGCUAAUAGAUGAGCCUAAGUCGGAUUAGAUAGUUGGUGGGGUGAAGGCCUACCAAGGCGACGAUCUGUAGCGGGUCUGAGAGGAUGAUCCGCCACACUGGGACUGAGACACGGCCCAGACUCCUACGGGAGGCAGCAGUGGGGAAUAUUGGACAAUGGGGGGAACCCUGAUCCAGCCAUGCCGCGUGUGUGAAGAAGGCCUUAUGGUUGUAAAGCACUUUAAGCGAGGAGGAGGCUCUUUUGGUUAAUACCCAAGAUGAGUGGACGUUACUCGCAGAAUAAGCACCGGCUAACUCUGUGCCAGCCGCCGCAGUAA
rnacentral:rRNA from 1 species